rnacentral:rRNA from 1 species
UUGGAGGGCAAGUCUGGUGCCAGCAGCCGCGGUAAUUCCAGCUCCAAUAGCGUAUAUUAAAGUUGUCGCAGUUAAAAAGCUCGUAGUUGAAUUUCGGGAUCAGUACGUUGGUCGUGCCUUAGGUACGUACUGGUGUUACUGGUUCCUACCUUCUGACGAACCAUCAUGUCAUUCAUUUGGUGUGGCGGGGAAUCAGGACUGUUACUUUGAAAAAAUUAGAGUGUUUAAAGCAGGCUCGCGCUUGAAUACAUUAGCAUGGAAUAAUGAAAUAGGACGUUGAUCCUAUUUUGUUGGUUUCUAGGAUUGACGUAAUGAUUAAUAGGGAUAGUUGGGGGCAUUAGUAUUCAAUUGUCAGAGGUGAAAUUCUUGGAUUUAUUGAAGACUAACUACUGCGAAAGCAUUUGCCAAGGAUGUUUUCAUUAAUCAAGAACGAAAGUUAGGGGAUCGAAGACGAUCAGAUACCGUCGUAGUCUUAACCAUAAACUAUGCCGACUAGGGAUCGGAUGAUGUUAAUUUUUUAAUGACUCAUUCGGCGCCUUACGGGAAAC